rnacentral:miRNA from 1 species
AAAGUCAUGAGGGGUUGGUUGGUCGGUUGGUCGGUCGGUCGGUCGGUCGGUCGGUCGGUCGGUCGGUCGGUCUGU